UUUUAACCGAGAACAACUCUCAACAACGGAUAUCUUGGCUCUCGCAACGAUGAAGAACGCAGCGAAAUGCGAUACGUAGUGUGAAUUGCAGAAUUCCGUGAACCAUCGAAUCUUUGAACGCAUAUUGCACUCGACCCCUCGGGGAAGAGUAUGUCUGCCUCAGCGUCGGUUU
rnacentral:rRNA from 1 species